AUGGCCUUGCGUCCUCUUGGCACUAUCCUGCGAGUAGCCAUCCCACUUCUGACACCAAAUGUGGUAGAGCGGCCUUACGGGUUCGCCUUCUACCCAAAUGAUGGCAAUACUCGCUGUGGUGUUGGAGAAACUCUAUCGUGUGAGGCUCAUUUUAGACCAGUGUUACACAUUGCACGGCUCGUGAGCCUCCUGCACUCUACAUCUCUACUGCUCCUGCUGGCAGCUGCUUCUUAUGUGCAUGGUGAGGAACUGACUCAGCCUGCUUCCAUGACAGUCCAGCCAGUCCAGAGUCUCUCCAUCCAGUGCAAGGUUUCAUAUUCAGUUACGAGCUACACUACAGCUUGGAUUCGACAACCUGCAGGAAAAGCUCUGGAGUGGAUUGGAUACAUCGAUAGUGCUGGGAGUACAGCUUACAGUGAGAAACUGAAAAAUAAGUUCAGCAUCUCCAGAGACACUUCUACUAACACAAUAACAAUUGGAGGACAGAACAUGCAGACUGAAGACACAGCUGUGUAUUACUGCGCU